rnacentral:lncRNA from 1 species
AAAAAUGUAAAAAUGAGAUAAUUCUCCAAGCAUGGAAAGAACUUUGAACAAUAGACUUAGAGACUCAUUAGGACCCCUUGCAAAAGGCCUUGGACAAUCAUUCAACCCUAACAUGGAAGGAGCAUUCAAGAAUGAAGAAGACUUGUAAUCUUCUAUGCGUUUUCUAGUUUAGGACACAAUUUCACACACACACGGCUUUCUCUUGGGCUACCUGACAAUGAGAUUUUUUAUUUCCCAUACUCCCUUGUACUUUACAUGUAC